rnacentral:rRNA from 7 species
GAAACGCCCGGUUACAUUUCGAACCCGGAAGCUAAG